UACGUAGGUGGCAAGCGUUGUCCGGAUUUAUUGGGCGUAAAGGGAGCGCAGGCGGUGACUUAAGUCUGAUGUGAAAGCCCACGGCUCAACCGUGGAAGGUCAUUGGAAACUGGGUCACUUGAAUAUAGAAGAGGAAAGUGGAAUUCCAUGUGUAGCGGUGAAAUGCGUAGAUAUAUGGAGGAACACCAGUGGCGAAGGCGACUUUCUGGUCUAUUAUUGACGCUGAGGCUCGAAAGCAUGAGUAGCAAACAGGAUUAGA
rnacentral:rRNA from 1 species